rnacentral:rRNA from 1 species
GACGAACGCUGGCGGCGUGCUUAACACAUGCAAGUCGAACGGAAAGGCCCUGCUUUUGUGGGGUGCUCGAGUGGCGAACGGGUGAGUAACACGUGAGUAACCUGCCCUUGACUUUGGGAUAACUUCAGGAAACUGGGGCUAAUACCGGAUAGGAGCUCCUGCUGCAUGGUGGGGGUUGGAAAGUUUCGGCGGUUGGGGAUGGACUCGCGGCUUAUCAGCUUGUUGGUGGGGUAGUGGCUUACCAAGGCUUUGACGGGUAGCCGGCCUGAGAGGGUGACCGGCCGCAUUGGGGCUGAGAUACGGCCCAGACUCCUACGGGAGGCAGCAGUGGGGAAUAUUGCGCAAUGGGCGGAAGCCUGAUGCAGCAACGCGGCGUGCGGGAUGACGGCCUUCGGGUUGUAAACCGCUUUCGCCUGUGACGAAGCGUGAGUGACGGUAAUGGGUAAAGAAGCACCGGCUAACUACGUG